rnacentral:rRNA from 1 species
AGAAUUUGAUCUUGGUCAGGAUGAACGCUAGCUACAGGCUUAACACAUGCAAGUCGAGGGGCAGCAUUGGAGUAGCAAUACUCAGAUGGCGACCGGCGCACGGGUGAGUAACACGUAUCCAACCUGCCGCUUACUCGGGGAUAGCCUUUCGAAAGAAAGAUUAAUACCCGAUGGUAUAAAGAGUUCGCAUGUUCUCUUUAUUAAAGAAUUUCGGUAAGCGAUGGGGAUGCGUUCCAUUAGAUUGUUGGCGGGGUAACGGCCCACCAAGUCUACGAUGGAUAGGGGGUUCUGAGAGGAAGGUCCCCCACAUUGGAACUGAGACACGGUCCAAACUCCUACGGGAGGCAGCAGUGAGGAAUAUUGGUCAAUGGACGAGAGUCUGAACCAGCCAAAAGUAGCGUGAAGGAUGACUGCCCUAUGGGUUGUAAACUUCUUUUAUAAGGGAAUAAAGUGAGGGACGUGUCCCUUUUUGUAUGUACCUUAUGAAUAAGGAUCGGCUAACUCCGUGCCAGCAGCGGC